rnacentral:misc_RNA from 1 species
GUGAAAUUAAGCAAAACUGGAAUGGCAACUGAAAUUUAGAAGUGAACCUGUGUUGCUGUGUGUGUGACUGCAUCAGUGCCAACCCUUUGUUGAAAACAUGUUUUAACCUAUUCAAAACAUCGGAAGUGUCUCCUUAUUUUUGUCAUUGCAUUUUAUGUGAGAUUAUCUUACUCACAACAUGUCAACAGUGUAACUUACCAAUAUUAUGAUCAUUAAGAUCUGCAAACUCAUUUAACCAUGUGAAUACCUUAUUUUCCUGGUAAUGGCAAUGUUUCUAGAUGAAACAGAUUAAGCCUAAUUGGAAGAAUAGAAGUUCAUGGUAAAACUAGGAAAGCAAAUGUACAUACUACAUAUAUAUGCGAUGUACAUCAGAAAUUACACUAUCAUUUUAUGAGUGGAGCACUAGCCAAAAACUAUGUGUCUUUCACUUGUAUUCAUUUGGACAUCUAUAUCACAUCUAAUCUUUUGCAGUUUGAUAUUUUGAUCUCCUCU